rnacentral:rRNA from 1 species
UACGGAGGGUGCAAGCGUUAUCCGGAAUCAUUGGGUUUAAAGGGUCCGCAGGCGGAUUUAUAAGUCAGUGGUGAAAGCCUAUUGCUCAACAAUAGAACUGCCAUUGAUACUGUAAGUCUUGAAUUCGGUCGAAGUGGGCGGAAUAUGACAUGUAGCGGUGAAAUGCUUAGAUAUGUCAUAGAACACCGAUAGCGAAGGCAGCUCACUAGGCCUGGAUUGACGCUGAGGCACGAAAGCGUGGGGAUCAAACAGG